UACGAAGGGGGCUAGCGUUGUUCGGAAUCACUGGGCGUAAAGCGCACGUAGGCGGAUCUUUAAGUCAGAGGUGAAAUCCCAAGGCUCAACCUUGGAACUGCCUUUGAUACUGAGGAUCUUGAGUUCGGGAGAGGUGAGUGGAACUGCGAGUGUAGAGGUGAAAUUCGUAGAUAUUCGCAAGAACACCAGUGGCGAAGGCGGCUCACUGGCCCGAUACUGACGCUGAGGCACGAAAGCGUGGGGAGCAAACAGG
rnacentral:rRNA from 1 species